GACGAACGCUGGCGGCGUGCCUAAUACAUGCAAGUAGAACGCACAGUUUAUACCGUAGCUUGCUACACCAUAAACUGUGAGUUGCGAACGGGUGAGUAACGCGUAGGUAACCUGCCUGGUAGCGGGGGAUAACUAUUGGAAACGAUAGCUAAUACCGCAUAAUAUUGAUUAUUGCAUGAUAAUUGAUUGAAAGAUGCUAUUGCAUCACUACCAGAUGGACCUACGUUGUAUUAGCUAGUAGGUGAGGUAACGGCUCACCUAGGCGACGAUACAUAGCCGACCUGAGAGGGUGAUCGGCCACACUGGGACUGAGACACGGCCCAGACUCCUACGGGAGGCAGCAGUAGGGAAUCUUCGGCAAUGGACGAAAGUCUGACCGAGCAACGCCGCGUGAGUGAAGAAGGUUUUCGGAUCGUAAAGCUCUGUUGUAAGAGAAGAACGGGUGUGAGAGUGGAAAGUUCACACUGUGACGGUAUCUUACCAGAAAGGGACGGCUAACUACGUG
rnacentral:rRNA from 1 species